rnacentral:rRNA from 1 species
GUAGGGGCCAAGCGUUAUCCGGAUUUACUGGGUGUAAAGGGAGCGUAGACGGAUGGCCAAGUCUGAUGUGAAAGGCUGGGGCUCAACCCCGGGACUGCAUUGGAAACUGCCCGUCUUGAGUGCCGGAGAGGUAAGCGGAAUUCCUAGGGUAGCGGUGAAAUGCGUAGAUAUUAGGAGGACCACCAGUGGCGAAGGCGGCUUACUGGACGGUAACUGACGUUGAGGCUCGAAAGCGUGGGGAGCAACCAGGAUUAGAUACCCUGGUAGUCCACGCGGUAAACGAUGAAUGCUAGGUGUCGGGUGCCAAAGUCAUUCGGUGCCGCCGCAACCGCAUUAAGCAUUCCACCUGGGGAGUACGUUCGCAAGAAUG